GUCGAGAAAAAUUAUUUUGCACAUUUUUUUUUAACAGACAUCGGUUAACAAAUUCUUGUCGUUUUUUUUUAAAUUAUGUAGCUUUUUAAAUUAAUAAUUUUUUAAGAGGAAUAAUGACAUGGAUAAUGUGACGGAUGUCUACUACCAAAGAGGGAAAUUAACAUCUUCUGUCCUCCCCAUCUUCUCUCUCCUAUACGACUGAUCGUUAAUAUCCCCACCUCACGUUAGAAACCUUGGACAGAUCAGAUCCGUCCUGAGCCCUGUCGUCAAGCUCAUUGAUCCAGUCGUCGAAUCCGGUUACUGAUUUCAGGUCAUCAGGGAUUGUGGAGUCCUCGAGAAGUGGAUCGGAGAAGGAAUUGUCGUCGGUGGAGAGGUAGAGAGGGUCGGAGUUGCGGUCGGAGGUGAGGCGGCUGGGGAGGAGAGAGACUGAGAUCCACACCAUCACCAUCACUGUUCAUCAUAUUCAACUUGAAACUCAGAUUUCCAACCCAAAUCUUCAAUACCACCAUAUCAGAAAAUAGAAAAAAAAAAUCAUAAUCUAAAUGUGAAAAGGAGACAGAAAAGGCUUUCAGCCAAACAAGCCGUCCCCUUUUGCUUCCAUGGGGAUUAGAUCGGAGAUUGGAAAUCAUGACUCCUAGAUCUGUUAAUUUUGAGUCUAUUUUAUCUGUAUUCAAUUAAAAUUUUAAAAGAUUUUUUUUAAGUGAUAAAUUUUUGUAGAAUUUAUAAAUUUUAAUGACUUUUAAAUUUUUUUUUAAAAUAACUUUUAUAGACUCUAUGAAAUAAAUAUAAUUAGA
rnacentral:lncRNA from 1 species